AGGGCCCCUGUUGAAUAUCUGACAUCAGGAAUAAUUUAAAUAGCAAAUCAAUUGCAUCGCAUUUGGGCAUGCCUUUACUAAUUGCAUAUUAAUAUGCACUUUGGUACCACCUAAUUAUUCACUCGUUUGGAUUUUGGAAUUUGAAUUAUUAUAGCAAUGAAGAUAAGUGAACCAUAAAAGUAUUGUUUUCAUCGAAGAAAAAACGCUUUAUGGUGUCAUAAAGACAACAAUCGCCAUCGAUCAACACAAUCAAUAAUUUUGGCGCAAAUUCAACCGUGUUUCAUUUGGCGAGCUCUCAACCUUAUCAUGGUGAUAAUCCGAAUAUCUCGCUUAUCACCUCUCCAACACGAAAGCAAGUCUUUUCAGCGCACUUCAGCCCCCGACUUGGCACACCGGCACCCCUCCACUGGCCCCACCGCCCCCGACUUACUUUCGCAUCAAUGGACCGCCGUGUCCUUCAAAAGGCCAAUUUCCACCCGCUUUUCACACGAGAAAACUCACAGCAAAACAGAACACAGCAACACCACACUUUCUGUAUCAUCUACUGUACACAAGUAAAAA